CCGCCAUUAGCUCAUCGGGAUAGAGCGCCAGCCUUCGAAGCUGGUUGCGCGGGGUUCGAGACCUCGAUGGCGGUCCA
rnacentral:tRNA from 1 species